UUAAGUCCGCAACGAGCGCAACCCUUGUCACUAGUUGCCAUCAUUUGUUGGGCACUCUAGUGAGACUGCCGGUGACAAACCGGAGGAAGGUGGGGAUGACGUCAAGUCCUCAUGGCCCUUAUGGGUAGGGCUUCACACGUCAUACAAUGGUCGGUACAGAGGGUUGCCAAGCCGCGAGGUGGAGCCAAUCCCUUAAAGCCGAUCGUAGUCCGGAUCGUAGUCUGCAACUCGACUACGUGAAGUCGGAAUCGCUAGUAAUCGCAGAUCAGCAUGCUGCGGUGAAUACGUUCCCGGGUCCUU
rnacentral:rRNA from 1 species